CAUUUCUCCCCCUAAUUCUCUUUGCAGUAUCCUGUUAGGAAAUCUGGAUUAAUAUUUAGCAUGUGCAUUGCUUGCCCAGCUGGUGUCCUUGCAGCAAAAUGCUUUUACCAAACCUCUUACAUUAAACUUAGGCUUUUCAUCAUGGAGAUGUUUCUUAGUCAUGGCAAAGAGCUUAGGAGUGGGCUGUGGGAUCAUGCGCUGGUUCUUCACAGCCUCUCAAAGCUAAUUCUUCAUGUGUCCCUUAACUGUAAAUAUGGUAGAGAAGCAUUAGUGAUAGGCAGUGCUAUUUUUCUAGGAAAAGAGGUGCUGAAACUCACCGUAAGUGCCUUCCUUGUUCUCUUAAAAUGGCAAUGGUGCCCACCUGAGAGGUGCCAGAACGGUGUUCCAGUGAGUUCCAGCUGAAAAAAGCCCUGGUGAUAGAUAAGACUAACCUGAUUCCCACCAUAACCAGCUCUUGAAGACAGCUAAGUGGGGAACUUAGAAGAGCCAGAGUGGUGUAGUGGUUAAGAGCGGUGGACUUGUAAUCUGGUGAACCGGGUUCGCUUCCCCGCUCCUCCACAUGCAGCUGCUGGGUGACCUUGGACUAGUCACACUUCUCUGAAGUCUCUCAGCCCCACUCACCUCACAGAGUGUUUGUUGUGGGGGAGGAAGGGAAAGGAGAGUGUUAGCCACUUUGAGACUCCUUAGGGUAGUGAUAAAGCGGGAUAUCAAAUCCAAACUCUUCUUAACCAUUGUUGACAUCAAUGGUUGAGGCAGAAGGGAAGAAUUCAGUCUGGGGGAAUGUGUGUUCUGUGACCAGUAGCAAACCACUUUACCAUGGUUAACAUAUUGCCCCGGUUACAUCAGCACUGGCUCCUAGUAAGAAAACUGGCAGUGUGUCAUGACCCAGAAUCCCGACACUUGUGUUUGUCUGCAAUGCUGUUGCAAUAGCUCUGCAGAACCAAGUUCACAAUGACACAGCAUCUCCUCUUGUUACUUCCUUAAAUUUUGUUGCUGCUCUUUGAACACUUGCAUUAUGUUUGGGGGAUUUCUUGAAAGAUGCCUCAUCAUCUUUGGAUCUGCUGCUUCAGAAGUAUUUCCAUGCAAAAAUAUAUCCCCCCCCCCCCCGGGAUGGCAGCAGUUGUCCUUGAGCCAGCUGCCCAAUAGAACCUUAAGGAGCAUGUGCCUUGAUACCUGGUUUAAAACAGAGGCGGCCAAUGUGAUGUGGCUUGACUACAACUCCCAGUGCCCCUGACUAUUGGCCAUACUGGCUGGAACUGAUUGGAGAUGUAGCCUAGCAAUAUUUGGAAGGCAGGUCUAAAGGCUUUCUGCUUGCACUUUCCCAGUUAAGGAUGAGCUGGUUUCCUUCCAUCACCAUUGCUUCAGGAGAAGUUACGGAUGGCCACUUAACUUGUUCAUGAGUGUUUCAAGGUACAGUGUCCUUAAUUACCCUGUCCAACAAUUGUGACCUACCUGCCACAGUAAAACUGUUCUUUGGUGAUUUGCAGUUCACAUAGCUAUGCCCUCCAUAGUGGUUUUUAUACUACAUAAACUUUCCUUUUGUGGGACUUGGUGCUGUUGCAUCCCAUGGCAGUUCAGAGUCGUCUCAAAAUAAUUUGCCUUGCCAAUCUGCCAUCUUGGGCAACACAAGAGGCAAAAGCUACGGAGAAAUUCUCCCCAAGUCCCAUUAGGAUGAAUAGGAGCUGCAUAAAUAGAUGUUUAUCCUCACUCGCUGUGCAAUAGGAACUGUGACUUAUGCACCCCAAUGGCUUUGUAGAUAGUGAGGGGGUGCCACCUGCCCUUAGCUUGGAUGCAUGAGUGAGGUGCAUUAAGGCAUUACUGCAUGCAAGCUCAAAUAAGGUGCGUGACAAGUAUUGAGGCACAGGGUGCCUUUAAAAAACAGCUUCCCUCCCACUCAUAGUGUAGCCCUCUUCAAGCUGGGCUGCAUUUUUUAAUGGGACUUGCAACUCACCUUGCUUCCUCCCUUUCUGCUAGAUCCCUUCCACUCCUAUUCUUAUCUUGGGAAAUGGAGAAGUAGUUGGCAGCAGAGGACUUGAGAAUGGAUUAGGAGUGCCUCUGCAGGGACUCUCCUUGGCAGCACAUGACACACGACAAUUAUUGCUCCGCAAAGGAUAACCCACCUUUCAGGCUUUCAAAAGUGGCUUGCUGUUGAAAUAAUACGUAAAAGGCAGCAUUAAGAAGAACAAACAGAACAACAUAAUGAACUCCAAAGGGCAACAAAACAGCAUAUUAACCUGCAGCAGGACUCUUUUCAAAGCCUGUUCAUAGCAUAAAGCAGAAUUGAAAUUAUUAUUUUGGUCAGUGGUGCUACAGCCAAUUCUCAGUUGACUUCCUGUACUUGGGUGUGCAUCCCUUAGCUGUCUCUUAGCUGCUGUCAAGUCUGAACAGUAGCUGCGUGCAUUUUUUUAUGUGCUCCCCUUUUAUUUUAACAGUGGGAUCACUUAUAUUUGAAUUAUUUCUAAAGAGGAGCAUAGACACAGAUAUCCACACCAUUCAUGCUUGAUGGAAUGUAUGCAUAUGUCAUAAUAGCUAGACAUAUGAAUGGGCAAAAAGUCAAGAGAAGUGGCCCCUCCUUUUUUUUAAAGACAAAAAAAUAUAUAUUUCUAAUGCUGUUUGCUGAGGUUGCACAUUAAGCCACUCCAAAUGAUGACUAAGCAUUUGCUCACACUACUGCAAUGUCAGCAGCAGAACAGGAUUCCAUUCACUCCUCAGCUCAGUCCAUCCAUUUGUGCAUGUGUCUUAUUGCUAUUAAAAGCAUGAUGGAACUCCUCCACCAGCUCUCAUGUGA